rnacentral:rRNA from 1 species
UACGUAGGGGGCAAGCGUUGUCCGGAUUUAUUGGGCGUAAAGCGCACGCAGGCGGUCUUUUACGUUUCGAGUGACAGGUGGUGGCUUAACCACCACAGGCCUUGGAAACUGGGGGACUUGAGUGCAGGAGAGGAACGCGGAAUUCCAGGUGUAGCGGUGAAAUGCGUAGAUAUCUGGAGACACCGGUGGCGAAGGCGGCGUUCUGGACUGCAACUGACACUGAGAAACGAAAGCCAGGGAGCAAACGGG